GAGAGUACAGAUCAAUGGUAGAGUGUGUGCUUAGCAAGCAUGAGGUCCUGGGUUCAAUUCCCAGCACUGCUG
rnacentral:tRNA from 1 species